rnacentral:misc_RNA from 1 species
UACGGAGGGUGCAAGCGUUAUCCGGAAUCACUGGGCGUAAAGGGCGUGUAGGUGGUCUUUCAAGUCCGAUGUCAAAUCCCGGGGCUCAACCCCGGUUCGGCGUUGGAUACUACUAGGCUUGACGACUGGAGAGGUGAGUGGAAUUACCAGUGUAGCGGUGGAAUGCGUAGAUACUGGUAGGAACACCUAUUGCGAAGGCAGCUCACUGUACGGUCCGUGACACUGAGGCGCGAAAGGGUGGGUAGCAAACCGG